rnacentral:rRNA from 1 species
AAGAGUGAACUAGCUAACUGAAAUCAUAGAAUUUAUUAAAAUUCAUGAUGUCGUAAGGGAAAAUAAUGAUAAUACCUUACUAUGAGUGUCGUCCAAAUCUGGUGCCAGAAGACUCGGUAAGACCAGAGACGCAAACGUUAAUCAUCAUAAACAGGCGUAAAGGGUUUGUAGGCAGCUUUUAUAAAGAUAGAUAAAAAUCUAAAUUGAAAGCUAGAAUCAAAAAGAGGUUAUAGUGUAUAACGCCUAGAGGAGGGCUGAUAUCCAUAGAUCCUAGGCAGAAUACUCAGGGCGAAGGCCACUCUCCACUAAUGAUUGACGCUGAGAAACGAAGGUUAGGGUAGGAAAUAGGAUUAGAUACCCCGGUACUCCUUUCUGUAAACGAUGAAUGGUAGUCAUUAGUUUUAAAAAUAACUAGAGGCGAAGUUAACACAAUAACCAUUCCGCCUUGUGAGUACUACUGCAAAGUAGAAAACAAAAAAAUUAGUCGGUCUCGAAGCAAACGGAGUGAAGCAUGUUAUUUAAUACGAU